rnacentral:lncRNA from 1 species
GAGGAGAGUAACCAAGGCAGAGCACAGGAGCUUAGAAGGCAGACAGGAGCCCCAGACAGCACAGACUUUCAGGAUGGAGCUGGGAAGUCGGUCUUCUGAAUAAGCAAGUUUGCUGACUGAACAGAAUGGGGGCACGUUGAGUGCCUGAGAGUGGGCGUUGCUCUGGCAAGAUGACUCACUGGCUUCCUAGGGGAAGGAAGAAUUAAGCCUGCCAUUCUCUUGGAAUUUGGGCACUGGAGAGUCUGUUGCCAACUCCGAGGAGUGAUUAGAAGAAGGCUCACCAUUUCCUCCACAGCAGCUGAGGGAGGCUGUGCAGGAGGGCGGGAACAACACGGUUUGGAGGAAUCAAGUCUGUCCCUUAGAUGAACACCGUGGCGACCAUUUGAUUACCAACUAUGACAGCAUGGCUAACUGACACACAAGAAUUUCAUUGUAUUCUCUGAAGAAAACAGAAGGCUGGCUCAUUAGAUAAUGCAUUUGCUUUAGAAGAUGAGGCUUGGACCUGAGAAAGCAGGAACAACACGGUUUGGAGGAAUCAAGUCUGUCCCUUAGAUGAACACUGUGGCGACCAUUUGAUUGCCAACAUGGUCUAUUCAAUUCCAACAUGGUCUCUGUCACACGUAGUGUUCCCAUUUAAAAAGUGAAUAUAAAGACUACAGAAACUGUAAUUUAGUUGGCCAAGAGCUUGCCUAGUGCAUAUGAAGACUUGGGUUCUAGCCCCAGCACCACAUAGGCUGGACAUGGUGGCUCGGGCUGCAAUCUGAGCACAUCAGAGAUGGAGAUGGAUGAAGGACCAAGGCCAGUCUGGGUUAUAUGAAACUCAGUCUCAAAAAGAAAGGAAGGAAGGAAGGAAGGAAGGAAGGAAGGAAGGAAGGAAGGGCUCUCAGCCUGAAGAUCAGCACUGGAACCAUGAUAUGACAUGACUCAUGUGUCAGUGAUGUUUAAGGAUGAUAAAAACAAGGCAGGAAUUUCGAUCAAAGCUUCUCUAUAGCGCCAUGAGCCACCAUCAGAAAGGUGGGCAGAUGAGAGCCUCUAAUUCAGGGCAUAAGCUGCACCUCCACCUAUAAAAAUUCCUAUGAGCAACAGCAUGCCCUGGCUGGAACAAUGAUCCAUCACUUCUGCUGAAAACAUUCGUUAGCUCAACAGAUGGCUCUCUUCUGAAGCUUGAGACGAACAGGCAUGAGGAAAUAUCCUGACAAGAGUGAAAUACUGACCUGAGGACCAGAAAAUCAGAGCCCAGGGAGACAGCAUCGUGUGUGAACUGCACCAUUUUCUGGGUGUGCCCUGAUGGAUGCUUUCCCAGAACACAGUAACAAUGCAAUAGCUUUCUUUGUUCAGGCGACCAGCAAGGAAUUUGUAAACAGAGACCAUCUUGGUGAGACUGAAAUUCCACAUCUUCCUUU